ACAGACCGGGGGCCCUCCUUGGGGGCUGGCUCCCCACGCCCUUCCUCCCUCCGACCUUCGGGGAAGCCACUUACGCUCUCUGAGCUUGGGUUUUCUUCAUUGAUUUAAUGGGAGGACAUUAUCCACGGCCCCAACUUAGGAACAUCAAUGAGGAAACGAAACAAUGUUCUUUGGGAAAGAAAAGAAGCCAGGGGACCAAGGGGGAAACCGAGGCACAGGGUGUUCCACAGAAGUUGAGAACUGACGGACACGCCACACUGGAGCGAGGCAGGGCCUCCGGCAUCCGGGUGUGCAUUCGUCCUGAGUUUCCGGGGUCAGUGUCAGUGAGGAGAGAGGUCGCCUACUGUGUCUCCCGGCCCCGGCCCAGCCCCCUGGGGAAGAGAAGGGCCUGGAAGAGAAGCUGUCGCCGGGAGGUGGUGGAAGAGAGGCCAGCAGGGAGGGGCCGGAACCCUCCACUGCCCACCAGGACCUCAGACCUUGCUGAAUCUCGGUGGCUUGCUCCAGAGGCCAAAGCCCUUGACAACAAACCCAUCCGCACCUUCCAGCCCAAGUUCGAGCCUAGAGGCACGGGUCCAGCAGCGACUGUCCAUUCACCGAGCCAGGCACCGAGCUGACUGCUUUCGUAUGUGACCCCACUGAAUACUCACAUCCACCUUGCAGGUUACUUUUUACAGAUGAAGAAACUGAGGCUUAGAGAGGGCUCAGCUCAAAUGCCACCUAGUUCCAGAAGUCUCCCUGGUUGAAGCUCAACCGCGGACGCAACAAGCAUUUAUUUAAUAUUUACUGCUGCUUAGGGUCCCUGUCACUCCUGCUGGGUGGAGGUCCCUGGAGGAGAGAAGCCAGAACUGAAGUGUCCCCAGGAAUGUGAGUGAUCCUGGGAAACAGGAGAGGACCCGCCAGAGCGGAAACGCACCCCACAUGUCUCCAUGGAGCAGGGCACUCCUGUCGGUCCCCGGA